rnacentral:sRNA from 1 species
CUCUAGCCCUGAUAGAAGCGGUAUCCUUUUUCUGGCUUCUUUAGACAGGAAAAGAUACAAGCGGAUAGCAGGAAAUAGU